CGCUGCGCCCGAAGCCCCGCGGAGCUGCUGAAAACCACUAGCUAUCAAAUGAACCCUCAGUUCCGCCUCAGUAACUUUAAGUUCAAGUUUAUCACUGAAGCGUCACUCAUGUGAGAAGAAGAUACAAGCCUCGGAGGGCGGUGGGGCCCAGCUUCAAUUACCAUAAAGGGUAACGGGAGGCCCUGGCUGCGGGGAGGGGAGCCGGAGUGAGCGCCUUCGUGGAAACAGACCCUGUCAAGAUGAAAUAGGAAAGAUCUGGGUGUCACGGGGAUGAUUUGUUUCUUGUUUCUCCCCUUUGUCUAUGGGCUGAUGGUUUGAAUAAUGAAGACGGUAUUGGUUUUCUUCUCGAGCACGCCAGCACAGGAGGUCUGCUUUUCUGAUGGCACAGCUGACAUAUUAAGAGGGAUUAAAGUUUCUGUACACGGGCAAUGUUUAAAUUAGCUUCCUUAAGCCCCAAAGAGAUCGUUCCAGCUGAUCGGCAAAAUGAACCCCAGCACGGCCGGCAGCCACCCUGCGCAGGUUGCCUAAACAGAGCCGCGGUGUCCUGUUUGGUCAGCUGUUUUGCAAAAUCAGAAGAAAAGGAAAGGCACUAAUCCCCGCCGAGCCGGAAAUCUUUCCAGGCUGGGGCCAGAAAGAUGAAAAUGAGUUCGGGCCAACAGUUUAUUAGAAUCCAGUGACAUCCUAAGCAGAAGACCCGGUUAAGCUGUGCCUGGACUCCUGACUCAUGGAACCUGUGAGAUAAAACCUGUGUUGUAGGUUGACAAGCUGAAUCUAUUUACAUGGAAGAGCAGGCCAAGAAAUGCCAGGAUAGCUUUGAAGACUCCAAACAUCAAAUAUGAAGAAUUAUUAUAAAGUGACACUAAUUAAAACAGUGUGAUAUUGGCACAAUGAUUUAAAAAUAAUAAACCAACAUAUUAAAAAGAGAUGCCCAACACAGGCCCAUUCAUGUACUGAAAUCUGAUAUAUGGUAGAUGUGACAUUACAAAUCAGAGGGGAA
rnacentral:lncRNA from 1 species